rnacentral:lncRNA from 1 species
GAAGAGCCAUCGAAGGGCCAGCGCAAGGGCUGAGCUCAGAAGGGGACACGGGCAGAGGGCAGGCCAGAGCCUUUCUCCAGUGGGACAGAUACCCCACAGGCUGAGCGGGGCCUUGAGGCCGAGAGAUGGAAGACACAUCCCAGGAAUUGUCCCCAAGAAUACGCCUGCCCUGCAUCUCCAUCAGAGGCAUGUGAAAGAUGAGGUUUUCCAAGAGCGGCUGCGAAUCCAGUGACGCACCGACACGAGUUGUUACCAAGACAACCAGCACAGCCGGUCGGGAGGAGUGAGAUGCAACAAUUCCAGCUAUAUUUCUUUCCGAUUUCAAAAUACAGG